rnacentral:rRNA from 1 species
UACGAAGGGGUCUAGCGUUGCUCGGAAUUACUGGGCGUAAAGGGCGCGUAGGCGGACAGUUUAGUCAGAGGUAAAAGCCCAGGGCUCAACCUUGGAACUGCCUUUGAUACUGGCUGUCUUGAGUUCGGGAGAGGUGAGUGGAAUUCCUAGUGUAGAGGUGAAAUUCGUAGAUAUUAGGAAGAACACCAGUGGCGAAGGCGGCUCACUGGCCCGGUACUGACGCUGAGGCGCGAAAGCGUGGGGAGCAAACAGG